CACCUCUCAGGAUUGCAACUGGAGAGUUUCCACUACUCUACCAGUCUCGAUUAUGGGAGGGAGAGUCAAGCAGAGGCAUUUUGAUUCCUAGCUUGGGCAGCGGCUAGCGAGUGGAAGGCAAUCUGCUUCAAGU